GAUGAACGCUGGCGGCGUGCCUAAUACAUGCAAGUCGAGCGAACAGACGAGGAGCUUGCUCCUCUGACGUUAGCGGCGGACGGGUGAGUAACACGUGGAUAACCUACCUAUAAGACUGGGAUAACUUCGGGAAACCGGAGCUAAUACCGGAUAAUAUAUUGAACCGCAUGGUUCAAUAGUGAAAUACGGUUUUGCUGUCACUUAUAGAUGGAUCCGCGCCGCAUUAGCUAGUUGGUAAGGUAACGGCUUACCAAGGCAACGAUGCGUAGCCGACCUGAGAGGGUGAUCGGCCACACUAGAAGUGAGACACGGUCCAGACUCCUGCGGGAGGCAGCAGUAGGGAAUCUUCCGCAAUGGGCGAAAGCCUGACGGAGCAACGCCGAGUGAGUGAUGAAGGUCUUCGGAUCGGAAAGCUCUGUUAUUAGGGAAGAACAAAUGUGUAAGUAACUAUGCACGUCUUGACGGUACCUAAUCAGAAAGCCACGGCUAACUACGUG
rnacentral:rRNA from 1 species